rnacentral:rRNA from 1 species
GACGAACGCUGGCGGCGUGCCUAAUACAUGCAAGUCGAGCGAAGUUUUUCUGGUGCUUGCACUAGAAAAACUUAGCGGCGAACGGGUGAGUAACACGUAAAGAACCUGCCUCAUAGACUGGGACAACUAUUGGAAACGAUAGCUAAUACCGGAUAACAGUAUUUCUCGCAUGAGAGAUAUUUAAAAGUUGGUUAUGCUAACACUAUGAGAUGGCUUUGCGGUGCAUUAGCUAGUUGGUGGGGUAAAGGCCCACCAAGGCGACGAUGCAUAGCCGACCUGAGAGGGUGAUCGGCCACACUGGGACUGAGACACGGCCCAGACUCCUACGGGAGGCAGCAGUAGGGAAUCUUCCGCAAUAGGCGAAAGCCUGACGGAGCAACGCCGCGUGAGUGAAGAAGGAUUUCGGUUCGUAAAGCUCUGUUGUUAGGGAAGAAUGGAUAUGUAGUAACUAUACAUGUAAGAGACGGUACCUAACCAGAAAGCCACGGCUAACUACGUG